GUGAACGCUGGCGGUAGGCCUAACACAUGCAAGUCGAACGGCAGCACAGUAAGAGCUUGCUCUUACGGGUGGCGAGUGGCGGACGGGUGAGGAAUACAUCGGAAUCUACUUUUUCGUGGGGGAUAACGUAGGGAAACUUACGCUAACACCGCAUACGACCUACGGGUGAAAGCAGGGGAUCUUCGGACCUUGCGCGAUUGAAUGAGCCGAUGUCGGAUUAGCUAGUUGGCGGGGUAAAGGCCCACCAAGGCGACGAUCCGUAGCUGGUCUGAGAGGAUGAUCAGCCACACUGGAACUGAGGCACGGUCCAGACUCCUACGGGAGGCAGCAGUGGGGAAUAUUGGACAAAGGGCGCAAGCCUGAUCCAGCCAUACCGCGUGGGUGAAGAAGGCCUUCGGGUUGUAAAGCCCCUUUGUUGGGAAAGAAAAGCAGCAGGUUAAUACCCCGCUGUUCUGACGGUACCCAAAGAAUAAGCACCGGCUAACUUCGUG
rnacentral:rRNA from 1 species